AACGAACGCUGGCGGCAGGCCUAACACGUGCAAGUCGAGCGAACCCUUCGGGGUUAGCGGCGGACGGGUUAGUAACGCGUGGGAAUAUACCCUUUGGUACGGAAUAGCCUCGGGAAACUGAGAGUAAUACCGUAUGUGCCCUUCGGGGGAAAGAUUAUCGCCAAAGGAUUAGCCCGCGUUGGAUUAGAUAGUUGGUGGGGUAAUGGCCUACCAAGUCUACGAUCCAUAGCUGGUUUGAGAGGAUGAUCAGCAACACUGGGACUGAGACACGGCCCAGACUCCUACGGGAGGCAGCAGUGGGGAAUCUUAGACAAUGGGCGCAAGCCUGAUCUAGCCAUGCCGCGUGGACGAUGAAGGCCUUAGGGUUGUAAAGUCCUUUCAGAUGGGAAGAUAAUGACGGUACCAUCAGAAGAAGCCCCGGCUAACUCCGUG
rnacentral:rRNA from 1 species